rnacentral:rRNA from 1 species
AACGAACGCUGGCGGCAUGCCUAACACAUGCAAGUCGAACGAGACCUUCGGGUCUAGUGGCGCACGGGUGCGUAACGCGUGGGAAUCUGCCCUUGGGUUCGGAAUAAACUUCGGGAAACUGAAGCUAAUACCGGAUGAUGACGUAAGUCCAAAGAUUUAUCGCCCAAGGAUGAGCCCGCGUAGGAUUAGCUAGUUGGUGAGGUAAAGGCUCACCAAGGCGACGAUCCUUAGCUGGUCUGAGAGGAUGAUCAGCCACACUGGGACUGAGACACGGCCCAGACUCCUACGGAGGCAGCAGUGGGGAAUAUUGGACAAUGGGCGAAAGCCUGAUCCAGCAAUA